GUUGAAAGAAUUCCAAGAAUUUAGUAUUCAAGUCAAUGAUGCAUUACAUUAAUUCGAUUCAUUCAACCCUUUGUAUUGAAUAUUUAAAAAAUUUCUUUAAAAAUCAAAAAAAUAUUUCAUUUUUUUAUUUUUCAUUUUUAGCGUAUUGAAUAUUAAAGAUUAUAAUGAUUUUAAUGAUAAAGUAAAAGCGGGUAGCGGGAAUCGAACCCGCAUCGUU
rnacentral:lncRNA from 1 species